GAUGAACGCUGGCGGUAUGCUUAACACAUGCAAGUCGAACGGACUCUUCGGAGUUAGUGGCGGACGGGUGAGUAACGCGUGAGAAUCUGGCUUUGGGUUCGGGACAACCACUGGAAACGGUGGCUAAUACCGGAUGUGCCGAGAGGUAAAAGAGAAAUUGCCUGAAGAUGAGCUCGCGUCUGAUUAGCUAGUUGGUGAGGUAAAGGCUCACCAAGGCAGCGAUCAGUAGCUGGUCUGAGAGGAUGACCAGCCACACUGGGACUGAGACACGGCCCAGACUCCUACGGGAGGCAGGAGGGGGGAAGUUUCCGCAAUGGGCGAAAGCCUGACGGAGCAAUACCGCGUGAGGGAAGAAGGCUCUUGGGGUGUAGACCUCUUUUCUUAGGGAAGAACAAAAUGACGGUACCUAAGGAAUCAGCAUCGGCUAACUCCGUG
rnacentral:rRNA from 1 species